GGGGACUCCGAGUGUGAGGGCAUAUAGCCCUCGCUUUUCUGUACCGUAAGGUGGUACAGGAACAAGGACUGGGCAAGACCGGUGCCAGCCGCCGCGGUAAUACCGGCAGUCCAAGUGAUGGCCGAUAUUAUUGGGCCUAAAGCGUCCGUAGCUUGCUGGGUAAGUCCAUUGGGAAAUCGACCAGCUCAACUGGUCGGCGUCCGGUGGAAACUACACAGCUUGGGGCCGAAAGACUCAACGGGUACGUCCGGGGUAGGAGUGAAAUCCUGUAAUCCUGGACGGACCACCAAUGGGGAAACCACGUUGAGAGACCGGACCCGACAGUGAGGGACGAAAGCCAGGGUCUCGAACCGGAUUAGAUACCCGGGUAGUCCUGGCUGUAAACAAUGCUCGCUAGGUAUGUCACGCGCCAUGAGCACGUGAUGUGCCGUAGUGAAGACGAUAAGCGAGCCGCCUGGGAAGUACGUCCGCAAGGAUGAAACUUAAAGGAAUUGGCGGGGGAGCACCACAACCGGAGGAGCCUGCGGUUUAAUUGGACUCAACGCCGGACAUCUCACCGGUCCCGACAGUAGUAAUGACGGUCAGGUUGACGACUUUACCCGACGCUACUGAGAGGAG
rnacentral:rRNA from 1 species